GAUGAACGCUGGCGGCGUGCCUAAUACAUGCAAGUCGAGCGAACGGACGAGAAGCUUGCUUCUCUGAUGUUAGCGGCGGACGGGUGAGUAACACGUGGAUAACCUACCUAUAAGACUGGGAUAACUUCGGGAAACCGGAGCUAAUACCGGAUAAUAUUUUGAACCGCAUGGUUCAAAAGUGAAAGACGGUCGUUCUGUCACUUAUAGAUGGAUCCGCGCUGCAUUAGCUAGUUGGUAAGGUAACGGCUUACCAAGGCAACGAUGCAUAGCCGACCUGAGAGGGUGAUCGGCCACACUGGAACUGAGACACGGUCCAGACUCCUACGGGAGGCAGCAGUAGGGAAUCUUCCGCAAUGGGCGAAAGCCUGACGGAGCAACGCCGCGUGAGUGAUGAAGGUCUUCGGAUCGUAAAACUCUGUUAUUAGGGAAGAACAUAUGUGUAAGUAACUGUGCACAUCUUGACGGUACCUAAUCAGAAAGCCACGGCUAACUACGUG
rnacentral:rRNA from 1 species